UCGAAACCUUAACAUCGAAGGAAGAAAGACACAAAUGAUAUAAAGAUUGGAUUUGAAGAAAUUUAUUGUUUAUUAGUACCCAGAAGGGACUGUGCAGGCAGAUCAGAGUAGAAAAAAAAAAUGUGCUUUAACUUGGCAUACAAAAUCAAGAAUGGAAAGAUUGUGUUGAAGAAAUUCAAGAAUGAAGAUGAGGAUGAUGAUAAUAAGGCAUUACUAGCAAAGGAGAUUGAGAGAUGGAAGAAGCAGCAGCAGAACAUAGCCAAGGGUGAUGAUGACAAGGCAAUCACCAACCUAAAAGUUGAUCAUCAAGAAGCUAAGUGGAUAUGAUUAUGAGGAUGAAUGGAGUUGAAUGAAAUGUGCCCUUUGCCUCCUAGUGUAAGGAACAGCUCUGUGAUAUCCAAGGGAAGUUGUUGUUGUUGUUGUUGCUGCUGAUUUUCUACUUGCUUCUUCGUCUUCUCUGCAUCUCAACUUUCCUUUACAGCUUCUUGUUGUAACUGAUGAUGAACAAGUAUGCCAUUUUUCUUUCAAUGAAUUCUGAGUGAAAUUCAAGAAA